AUUGAACGCUGGCGGCAGGCCUGACACAUGCAAGUCGAGCGGAUGACGGGAGCUUGCUCCUUGAUUCAGCGGCGGACGGGUGAGUAAUGCCUAGGAAUCUGCCUGGUAGUGGGGGACAACGGUUCGAAAGGAACGCUAAUACCGCAUACGUCCUACGGGAGAAAGCAGGGGACCUUCGGGCCUUGCGCUAUCAGAUGAGCCUAGGUCGGAUUAGCUAGUAGGUGAGGUAAUGGCUCACCUAGGCGACGAUCCGUAACUGGUCUGAGAGGAUGAUCAGUCACACUGGAACUGAGACACGGUCCAGACUCCUACGGGAGGCAGCAGUGGGGAAUAUUGGACAAUGGGUGAAAGCCUGAUCCAGCCAUGCCGCGUGUGUGAAGAAGGUCUUCGGAUUGUAAAGCACUUUAAGUUGGGAGGAAGGGCAGUAAGUUAAUACCUUGCUGUUUUGACGUUACCGACAGAAUAAGCACCGGCUAACUCUGUGCCAGCCGCCGCGGUAAAAC
rnacentral:rRNA from 1 species